GGUGUGGUGGCACACUCCAGCCUGGGCAAUAGAGCAAGUCUCUGUCUCGAAAUGAAAUGGAAUGAAAUGAAGAGAAUAAAUGAAAUAAAUGAAAUGAAAUAAUAAAAUGAAUAAUGAAUUGCCAGGUGAAAUGAAAUGAAAUGAUGAAAUGAAUAAUGAAAUGCCGGGUGCAGUGGUGCACUCCAACCUGGGCAAUAGAGCAGGUCUCCGUCUCGAAAUGAAAUGAGAUGACAUGAGAUGAAAUGGGAUGAAAUGAAAUAAUGAACAAUGAAAUGCCGGGUGAAAUGAAAUGAAAUGAAGAAAUAAAUGAAAUAUUGAAAUGAAUAAUAAAAUUCUGGGUGCGGUGAUGCACUCCAGCUUGGGUGAUAGAGUGAGACUCCGUCUUGAAAUGAAAUGAUGAAAUAAUGAAACAAAAUUAAAUAUGAAAUGAAAUACGAAAUACUGGGUGCGGUGGCUCACGCCUGUAAUCCUAGCACUUUGGGAGGCUGAGGAGGGUGGAUCACCUGAGGUCAGGAGUUCAAGACCAGCCUGGCCAACAUGAUGAAACCCCAUCUCUACUAAAAUACAAAAACUAGCCGGGCAUGAUAGCGGGUGCCUGUAAUCCCAGCUACUUGGGAGGCUGAGAGAGGAGAAUCGCUUGAACCCAGGAGGCAGAGGUUGCAGUGAGCAGGGAUCGCGCCACUGCACUCCAGCCUGGGUGUUAGAACAAGCCUCUGGCUCGAAAUGACAUGACAUGACAUGAUGAAAUGAAAUAAUGAAAUGAAUAAUGAAAUGCGUGUGGUGCACUCCAGCCUGGGCAAUGCAGCAAGUCUCUGUCAUGAAAUGGAUUGAAAUUGAAUGGGAAUGGGAAUAUGGGAAUGGAAUAAAUGAAAUGAAGAAAUAUGAAAUGCCAGGUGUGGUGGCGCACUCCAGCCUGGGUGAUAGAGCGAGUCUCCAUCUUGAAGUGAAAUGAAAUGAAAUGAAAUGAAGAAAUGAAAUAAAUGAAUACUGAAAUGAAAUAAUAAAAUGAAAUGCCAGGUGUGGUGGCACACUCCAGCCUGGGCAAUAGAGCGCGUCUCCGUCUUGAAAUGAAAUGAAAUAAAUGAAAUGAGAAAUGAUGAGAUGAAAUAUGAAAUGCUGGGUGAAAUGAAUAAUGAAAUGCCAGGUGUGGUGGCGCAGUCCAGCCUGGGUGAUAGAGCGAGUCUCUGUCUUGAAAUGAAAUGAAAUGAUCAAA
rnacentral:lncRNA from 10 species